ACAACAUUCAGACCGUCGGUCUACCGAGCAAUAUCACCUGCUUGGUUUAAGAUCUUCGUCAA
rnacentral:pre_miRNA from 1 species